GACAGAGGGUGCAAACGUUGUUCGGAAUUACUGGGCGUAAAGGGCUUGUAGGUGGCCAACUAAGUCAGACGUGAAAUCCCUCAGCUUAACUGGGGAACUGCUUCUGAUACUGGAUGGCUUGAGUUUGGGAGAGGGAUGCGGAAUUCCAGGUGUAGCGGUGAAAUGCGUAGAUAUCUGGAGGAACACCGGUGGCGAAGGCGGCAUCCUGGACCAACACUGACACUGAAAAGCGAAAGCCAGGGGAGCAAACGGG
rnacentral:rRNA from 1 species